GUGCUCCCUGCGGCAGCGCAUAUACUAAAACCGGGAGGGCAUGGAGAAGACCAGCAUGGCCCCCGCGCAAGGAUGAGACACAAGUUUGUGAAGCAUUCCAUAUUAAA